AUUGAACGCUGGCGGCAUGCUUUACACAUGCAAGUCGAACGGUAACAGGCCGCAAGGUGCUGACGAGUGGCGAACGGGUGAGUAAUGCAUCGGAACGUGCCCAGUCGUGGGGGAUAACGCAGCGAAAGCUGCGCUAAUACCGCAUACGAUCUAUGGAUGAAAGCGGGGGACCGUAAGGCCUCGCGCGAUUGGAGCGGCCGAUGUCAGAUUAGGUAGUUGGUGGGGUAAAGGCUCACCAAGCCAACGAUCUGUAGCUGGUCUGAGAGGACGACCAGCCACACUGGGACUGAGGCACGGCCCAGACUCCUACGGGAGGCAGCAGUGGGGAAUUUUGGACAAUGGGCGCAAGCCUGAUCCAGCAAUGCCGCGUGCAGGAAGAAGGCCUUCGGGUUGUAAACUGCUUUUGUACGGAACGAAACGGUCCUGGUUAAUACCCGGGACCAAUGACGGUACCGUAAGAAUAAGCACCGGCUAACUACGUGCCAGCAGCCGCCGUAACAC
rnacentral:rRNA from 1 species